UACGAAGGGGGCUAGCGUUGCUCGGAAUCACUGGGCGUAAAGCGCACGUAGGCGGCUCUUUAAGUCAGGGGUGAAAUCCCAAGGCUCAACCUUGGAACUGCCUUUGAUACUGGGGAUCUCGAGUCCGGAAGAGGUUGGUGGAACUGCGAGUGUAGAGGUGAAAUUCGUAGAUAUUCGCAAGAACACCAGUGGCGAAGGCGGCCAACUGGUCCGGCACUGACGCUGAGGCUCGAAAGCGUGGGGAGCAAACAGG
rnacentral:rRNA from 1 species